rnacentral:rRNA from 1 species
CAGUAGCCACGGUAAUACGUAGGGUACAAGCGUUAAUCGGAAUUACUGGGCGUAAAGCGUGCGCAGGCGGUGAUGUAAGACAGUUGUGAAAUCCCCGGGCUCAACCUGGGAACUGCAUCUGUGACUGCAUCGCUGGAGUGCGGCAGAGGGGGAUGGAAUUACGCGUGUAGCAGUGAAAUGCGUAGAUAUGCGGAGGAACAUCAGUGGCGAAGGCGGCCAUCUGGGACAACACUGACGCUGAGGCACGAAAGCGUGGGGAGCAAACAGGAUUAGAUACCCCGGUAGUCCCUGUCUCUUAUAA